CGAAACUGCCGGUGUAAACCGAGAGGAAGGUGGGGAUGACGUCAAAUCAGCACGGCCCUUAUGUCCAGGGCUACACACGUGUUACAAUGGCCGGUACAGAGGGCAGCUACCUGGAGGACAGGAUGCGAAUCUCGAAAGCCGGUCUCAGUUCGGAUCGGAGUCUGCAACUCGACUCCGUGAAGCUGGAUUCGCUAGUAAUCGCGCAUCAGCCAUGGCGCGGUGAAUACGUUCCCGGGCCUU
rnacentral:rRNA from 1 species